AUCCAACGAUGCAGGAGCUGC
rnacentral:miRNA from 2 species